UGGGGGAUAUUGCACAAUGGAGGAAACUCUGAUGCAGCGACGCCGCGUGAGGGAAGAAGGUCUUCGGAUUGUAAACCUCUGUCCUUGGGGACGAAGGAAGUGACGGUACCCAAGGAGGACGCCACGGUUAUAUAAGUG
rnacentral:rRNA from 1 species